rnacentral:lncRNA from 1 species
AAUGAAUUUUGCAAUUGUGAAAGUUGAUUCUCCUAUUUCUUUAAAGCUAAAGGUAUGCCAAGGUUGAUCAAAAGGUGGAUGACGAUACGAUAUUACGAAGUGUGUACGUUUUAGUUUUCUUCGGGGGAUUCCGAGGACGGAAUCCUUAUAAGGGGGGUAGAAUGUAAUAUCCCAUAUUAUUAAAGUUAGAUGUGAUUAUUAUAAAUCUAUUUGUCUAAAUAUUAUUGUUGGCUUUAGUUGAAAAGCGAAUUGAUUAUGUGAAUAGUUUUAUAUGAUUAUACUUGUUCUGUGGAUUAAUAUGGAUUUUACAGAUUAUGCGUCCUCCUUCUUUCUCUGAUUCCGAGGACGGAAUCCCUAUAAGGAGGGUAGAUUGUAAUGACCCGGAUUUUUAAAAAUAUUUUUAU